CGUUAUUCGGAAUCACUGGGCUUAAAGGGUGCGUAGGCUGCGCAGCAAGUUGGGUGUGAAAUCCCUCGGCUUAACCGAGGAACUGCGCCCAAAACUGCUGUGCUCGAGGGAGAUAGAGGUGAGCGGAACUUAGGGUGGAGCGGUGAAAUGCGUUGAUAUCCUAAGGAACACCGGUGGCGAAAGCGGCUCACUGGAUCUCUUCUGACGCUGAGGCACGAAAGCUAGGGUAGCGAACGGG
rnacentral:rRNA from 1 species